rnacentral:tRNA from 1 species
GCCGGGGUGGCCGAGCGGUCUAAGGCGGCGGGCUGCAGGGCCCCAUAAUUCACAUGGACUUUACCCUGUAGGGGGUUCAUGGAAACCCGCUUUACCGCGGGUUCGAAUCCCGCCCCCGGCU